CGUUUAUCCAUUGGCUACCCGUUGGAGCAUCACUUGCGGUGCUCUUUGUAAUGUCACUUGGUGGGUUUUGCAGAAAUGACUGUCUAGAGACGUUUUAUCUUGAUAAUUGACAAAAUAAGAGUGCAAAAUAUUUGACAGCAGAUCGCUUAUGGGGUCAUCAAGGAAACUCAAUAGAUGGCUAUUUCAGUGGAGAUUAUACCAGAGAUGUUGUUUUGAAAGUAUAUGCCAGGAGAGAAAGAUAUACUUGAAACCCGAUGAGGUCAAUGAUGUGGAGAUUUUACCAGAGAUGUUGUUUUCAAGUAAGAUUUUGUGUGAGAUUAUAUCGAUCGCACCAGCACGCCACAUUGUUGCUCCACGGCAAAGGCAGCGAGCGACUGGCUGGCUGCUGCUGGCUUGUACGUGUGGAAGGCAGUUGUUCACGGCAGACCAGUGAGCGGCGGCGGGUGGGCGCGACCACAUGGUGGUUGGAAGACUGAUCCCGGAGAGGAGAACAAGCCUCCGAGCACGUGCUCGUCAACUCCAUGCCGGCCGCUCCAAGCGCCCCUGCUUCGUGUCUUCAAGGCAGGCGCCGAGAUAGCCUUUGCAGCGAGCUGUGGUGUGUGGACUCUGCGGCGAGAUGGGAUUCAGAAUCCUUUUCCGUGAUAGCACAUCCAAGGAAGGAAGGAGAUUGAGGUUGGCACCUCCUGAAGGCAUGCAUGCUCUUCACCGAGAGAGGGAAGGGCAUCUUUUUCUUGGGUUGCAGUUUCCACCUUGUUGUUGGGUGAGAGCUCUUGUGGAUAAUCAGACAUGGGGUGCAUGGCAAAAUUAGGACAGACUGAAGGCAGCAAAUUCUGCGUUGGCCGUGCACUUUGAGGAGAAGACAUUGUCUUUGUAUAAGUGCCCCUACAAUCAUCUCUUUACAGCAGAGAUAAGGCCUUCAGAUAGAUAUGGCCGCAUAAAUCGCACCGAUGGAUCCAGUCCUUCGCUAGGUCCAACCUACCCUGCACCAGCCUCAAGCACGUGAGACAUUGUUACCUUGUGUUCUAACUGGUUACCACAAUCAAAUCCAUUUUUCCCAGUUAAAUUAGUUAGCUCAUUUUGUUGAUAACUGAGUUGCAUUGGUAAUAUAUACUGAACUGUCUUUGGCAUUCUGUUUUGCAA